rnacentral:rRNA from 1 species
GGAUAGCGGAGAAAUUCCAAUCGAACUCGGAGAUAGCUGGUUCUCCUCGAAAUAGUUUUAGGACUAGCCUUGUUUAGUAGUAUGUGGGGGUAGAGCACUGAAUGAGCUAGGGGCCAAACCAGGUUACUGAACUCUAUCAAACUCCGAAUACCAUGUACGUAAGAACAGGAGUCAGACUGCGGGAGCUAAGUUCCGUGGUCAAAAGGGAAAGAGCCCAGAUCGUCAAUUAAGGUCCCAAAGAUAUAGUUAAGUGGAAAACGAUGUGAUUUUGCGUAAACAACCAGGAUGUUGGCUUAGAAGCAGCCAUUCAUUUAAAGAGUGCGUAAUAGCUCACUGGUCGAGUGAAGUUGCGCGGAAAAUUACCGGGGCUAAACUAUACACCGAAAUUGCGGAUUCAUGAGUAAUCAUGAGUGGUAGAGGAGCAUUCUAUAGUAGGACGAAGGUAGAUCGAAAGGACUGCUGGACGAGAUAGAAGAGAGAAUGCCGGAAUAAGUAGCGAAAGCAUGGUGAGAAUCCAUGCCAUCGAAAGUCUAAGGUUUCCUGGGGAAGGUUCGUCCGCCCAGGGUAAGUCGGGACCUAAGGAGAGGCCGAAAGGCGUAUCUGAUGGACAGCAGGUAGAAAUUCCUGCACCACCGAUAUACUUAAAAAAUGCAAGGGACACAGUAGUGGAAGGAAAGCGAGGAAGAGGAAAGACUCGUAUCGAAAGAUAUAGUGAAAAAAUAAGUAACGAAUUUCCAAGAAGCACACUGGCGAGAAAAGCUUGUAGGAAUUGUAUAAAGGUGCCCGUACCGCAAACCGACACAGGUAGAUGAGGAGAGGAUCCUAAGAUGAGCGAGAGAAGCAUUGUUAAGGAACUCGGCAAAUUGACCCCGUAACUUAGGGAGAAGGGGUGCCAAAGUAAAAUUUGGUCGCAGAGAAGAGGCCCAAGCAACUGUUUAACAAAAACACAGGUUUCUGCUAAAUCGAAAGAUGAAGUAUAGGAGCUGACGCCUGCCCAGUGCUGGAAGGUUAAGGGAAAGAGUUAGAUGUAAGUCGAAGCUUAGAACUAAAGCCCCAGUGAACGGCGGCCGUAACUAUAACGGUCCUAAGGUAGCGAAAUUCCUUGUCAGGUAAGUUCUGACCCGCACGAAAGGCGUAAUGAUUUGGGCACUGUCUCGACAAUGUACCCGGCGAAAUUGUAGUACUAGUGAAGAUGCUAGUUACCUGCGACAAGACAGAAAGACCCCAUGGAGCUUUACUGCAGUUUGAUACUGGGUUUCGAUAAGUUAUGUACAGGAUAGGUGGGAGACAAAGAAAGAAAGGCGUCAGCUUUUCCGGAGUCACCGUUGGGAUACCACCCUUAAUUUGUUGGAAUUCUAACUAGUGGUCAUGAUCUGGCCAGAGGACAAUGUCAGACGGGCAGUUUGACUGGGGCGGUCGCCUCCAAAAGAGUAACGGAGGCGCCCAAAGGUUCCCUCAGUGCGGACAGAAAUCGCACGAAAGAGUGUAAAGGCAGAAGGGAGCUUAACUGGAAGAUAGACAUAUCGAGCAGAUACGAAAGUAGGGCUUAGUGAUCCGGUGGAAUUGAAUGGAAAAGCCAUCGCUCAACGGACAAAAGUUACCCUGGGGAUAACAGGCUUAUCUCCCCCAAGAGUUCACAUCGACGGGGAGGUUUGGCACCUCGAUGUCGGCUCAUCGCAUCCUGGAGCUGUAGCAGGUUCCAAGGGUUGGGCUGUUCGCCCAUUAAAGCGGUACGCGAGCUGGGUUCAGAACGUCGUGAGACAGUUCGGUCCUUAUCUGUCGCAGGCGGAAGAUAUUUGAAGGGAGCUGUCCUUAGUACGAGAGGACCAGGAUGGACAUACCGAUGGUUUAUCAGUUGUCACACCAGUGGCACGGCUGAGUAGCCAAGUAUGGAAGGGAUAAACGCUGAAAGCAUCUAAGUGUGAAGCCCACCCUAAGAUAAGAUAUCUCAUACCGAAAGGUAGUAAGAUUCCAUAAAGACUAUGUGGUUGAUAGGUUGGAGGUGUAAGUAUAGCAAUAUAUUGAGCUGACCAAUACUAAUAAAUCGAGGGCUUAACCAC